AACAGGGAGGCCACCAUCAUGGGCCAAGGCAGCCACAGAAGCAGAUGGCUGUGAUAUAGAGUGAUUUUGGUGACAAGGUAGGGGUCAGAUUGGAGAAGGGUGGAGGCAAAGGGAAGACUGGCUUGUCCUCAGGGACCAGAGGGCCUCAAGGGGCCUCUCAUCUUGCGGCCCUUCCAGCUGGGGUGGGUAGGGCCACUGCCAUGCCCGGGCUAGAAAUCCUAGCCCUCUGCCGUCAGAUUUACUGCCACCCUUAGGGCAGGCAGGAGAGGGAAUCACGUUGUAAAACAAACACAGAUCUGCUAGGGAGUGGAAUGCAAAAUUCAGCGGGUUCCUUAAGAAGAGUGGAGACCUGAAGGUGAGGGGGUCUCUGGUUUCGUUCUUUGAUCCGCCUUCCCCUUCUUCCACCUGCCAGCUGCCCCUCGCUGCCGCGGAGACGCCGUGCUGGGUUUGAGACGCUGGGAGGGCAAAGCUGGGCCGGGACUAGGACCCUACCCGCUACUUGGGGCCAGGCGCUCACGUGAGCGCGGGGCGGGGUCAGGCGCACACCUGGGCGCAGGGCGGGACCGGGCGCUGGGCGGGACCAGGCGCACACCAGAGCGCGGGGCGGGGCCAGGUGGCGGUCUCCGCCCCUCCUUCUCCCUCCACUUCUCCCAGGCUCCCAGUCUUGCCUUCCUAAGCUGCUAAGUGUUAGGGACACCGGAGACAGCUAGGUGGCCUGUGAAAGGAGAUCCCUGGGGACAAAGCCAGGAUCCAACCCCUGAAGCCCCGUGGAGGGGGUUGGGGGGCGCUGUGUCCAGGGCUGCCCGUGGACUGUCUCACCUGAUCUUGCCCACAAGUCUAGGAAGUAGGUCAUCAACACCCUGUUUCACAGGAACUGCGCUCAGACUCCUAACCGCAAAGUUGACUCAACAGCCAACCAGGGUCAAGAAUGGAAGGCACCAGUGCCAUUCCCCCCCCCCAAACCCCCCCCCCCCCCCCCCCCCCCCCCCCGCGGAGUAGAAAUGAACUUGAGGGUGAGCGUGGGGGAAUUCUGCUGCUGUUAAAUGUCAGAAGAAUUGUUAUGGGGAAGAGGGAGACUUUUGGCCAGCCACAGCAGAGAGCCUCCAUAUUUUGGAACUCCAGUUGCAAUCCCUUCUUUUUGGGGCGGCGGGGGUCCACCCCCCACCUCAUUCCAGCUGGUUACUGCAUGGCUGCCAAUCACAAGGGCCUGCCCCUCCUCUCCUGGGGCAGGCCUAGGACUCAAACCAGGCAACAGGACUCUGGAUCCUACAAUCACCAAUGGGGAGAGUGCGUCUGACGGCCACAUCCUGGAAAGGUGGUCCAUAAACUCAACCAGUCAAGAGGAAGUGGUAACUGGGCCAGAACCCUGGUCUGUGAGACUCCCGAGACCAAGCUCAGGCACUCCUAACCUUAAAGACAUCUCUCGUGGGACCACCAGCCAGCCAAAGGCACAAAAGCCACCUCCCCUCCCGGGAGGUGCGGGCACCCAGCCUUUCCUGCAGGGGCGUGGCCAAUGUGUUCCAAGAAAUCUCCCCA